UGAGGAAUAUUGGGCAAUGCCCGCAAGGGUGACCCAGCAACGCCGCGUGGAGGAUGAAUGUCGUAAGAUUGUAAACUCCUGUUAGAGGGGAAGAAUAGUACCGGUUGGACCGGUAUAUGACUGUACCCUCAGAGAAAGCCCCGGCUAACUACGUGCCAGCAGCCGCGGUAAUACGUAGGGGGCAAGCGUUGUCCGGAUUUACUGGGUGUAAAGGGCGCGCAGGCGGAAUAAAAAGUCAGUGGUGAAGUCCUACAGCUUAACUGUAGAACUGCCUUUGAUACUUUUAUUCUUGAGUUCGGGAGAGAGAGACGGAAUUCCAGGUGUAGUGGUGAAAUACGUAGAUAUCUGGAAGAACACCAGUUGCGAAGGCGGUCUCUUGGUCCGACACUGACGCUGAGGCGCGAAAGCGUGGAGAGCAAACA
rnacentral:rRNA from 1 species